rnacentral:rRNA from 1 species
UACGUAGGGUGCAAGCGUUGUCCGGAAUUAUUGGGCGUAAAGAGCUUGUAGGCGGUUUGUCGCGUCUGCUGUAAAAUUUCGGGGCUCAACCCCGAACUUGCAGUGGGUACGGGCAGACUAGAGUGUGGUAGGGGAGACUGGAAUUCCUGGUGUAGCGGUGAAAUGCGCAGAUAUCAGGAGGAACACCGAUGGCGAAGGCAGGUCUCUGGGCCACUACUGACGCUGAGAAGCGAAAGCAUGGGGAGCGAACAGG